AUGAACGCUAGCUACAGGCUUAACACAUGCAAGUCGAGGGGCAGCAUGAUUGAAGCUUGCUUCAAUCGAUGGCGACCGGCGCACGGGUGAGUAACACGUAUCCAACCUGCCGAUAACUCGGGGAUAGCCUUUCGAAAGAAAGAUUAAUACCCGAUAGCAUAGUAUUUCCGCAUGGUUUCACUAUUAAAGAACUUCGGUUAUCGAUGGGGAUGCGUUCCAUUAGAUAGUUGGCGGGGUAACGGCCCACCAAGUCAACGAUGGAUAGGGGUUCUGAGAGGAAGGUCCCCCACAUUGGAACUGAGACACGGUCCAAACUCCUACGGGAGGUAGCAGUGAGGAAUAUUGGUCAAUGGACGAGAGUCUGAACCAGCCAAGUAGCGUGAAGGAUGACUGCCCUAUGGGUUGUAAACUUCUUUUAUACGGGAAUAAAGUGGAGUAUGCAUACUCCUUUGUAUGUACCGUAUGAAUAAGGAUCGGCUAACUCCGUGCCAGCAGCCGCGGUAAUACGGAGGAUCCGAGCGUUAUCCGGAUUUAUUGGGUUUAAAGGGAGCGUAGGCGGGUGCUUAAGUCAGUUGUGAAAGUUUGCGGCUCAACCGUAAAAUUGCAGUUGAUACUGGGUACCUUGAGUGCAGCAUAGGUAGGCGGAAUUCGUGGUGUAGCGGUGAAAUGCUUAGAUAUCACGAAGAACUCCUAUUGCGAAGGCAGCUUACUGGACUGUAACUGACGCUGAUGCUCGAAAGUGUGGGUAUCAAACAGGAUUAGAUACCCUGGUAGUCCACACAGUAAACGAUGAAUACUCGCUGUUGGCGAUACACAGUCAGCGGCCAAGCGAAAGCAUUAAGUAUUCCACCUGGGGAGUACGCCGGCAACGGUGAAACUCAAAGGAAUUGACGGGGGCCCGCACAAGCAGUGGAGUAUGUGGUUUAAUUCGACGCAACGCGAAGAACCUUACCAAGGCUUGACAUAUACAGGAAUAUAUAAGAGAUUAUAUAGCUCUUCGGAGUCUGUAUACAGGUGGUGCAUGGUUGUCGUCAGCUCGUGUCGUGAGGUGUCGGCUUAAGUGCCAUAACGAGCGCAACCCUUAUCUAUAGUUACUAUCAGGUCAUGCUGAGGACUCUAUGGAGACUGCCGUCGUAAGAUGUGAGGAAGGUGGGGAUGACGUCAAAUCAGCACGGCCCUUACGUCCGGGGCUACACACGUGUUACAAUGGCAGGUACAGAGAGACGGUCCCUUGCAAAACGGAUCAAAUCCUUAAAGCCUGUCUCAGUUCGGACUGGGGUCUGCAACCCGACCCCACGAAGCUGGAUUCGCUAGUAAUCGCGCAUCAGCCAUGGCGCGGUGAAUACGUUCCCGGGCCUUGUACACACCGCCCGUCACACCAUGAGAGUUGGAAAUACCCGAAGCCUGUGAGCUAACCUAUGAGGCAGCAGUCGAAGGUAGAGCCAAUGAUUGGGGUG
rnacentral:rRNA from 1 species